rnacentral:rRNA from 1 species
AGAGUUUGAUCCUGGCUCAGAGCGAACGCUGGCGGCGUGCUUAACACAUGCAAGUCGAGUGCGCGGUAGCAAUACUGGCGCACGGCGCACGGGUGCGUAACACGUGGGCAACCUGCCCUACAAUGGGGGAUAACCCGCCGAAAGGCGGGCUAAUACCGCAUGACAUCACGAUGGCUUCGGCUGUUGUGAUCAAAGGCCGCAAGGCCAUUGGAGGAGGGGCCCGCGCCCGAUUAGCUAGUUGGUGAGGUAACGGCUCACCAAGGCUUUGAUCGGUAGCCGGUCUGAGAGGAUGGCCGGCCACACUGGAACUGAGACACGGUCCAGACUCCUACGGGAGGCAGCAGUGGGGAAUCUUGCGCAAUGGGCGAAAGCCUGACGCAGCGACGCCGCGUGGGGAUGAAGCUUCUCGGAGUGUAAACCCCUUUCGACCCGGAAGAAUGUCCCGCAAGGGAUUGACGGUACGGGUAUAAGAAGCCCCGGCUAACUACGUGCCAGCAGUCGCGGUAAGACGUAGGGGGCCAGCGUUGCUCGGAAUUACUGGGCGUAAAGGGUUCGUAGGCGGUGUGGCAAGUCGGAAGUGAAAUCUCCAGGCUCAACUUGGAGGCUGCUCCCGAAACUGCCACGCUAGAGUGCGAGAGAGGCCAGUGGAAUUGCAGGUGUAGCGGUGAAAUGCGUAGAUAUCUGCAAGAACACCCGUGGCGAAAGCGGCUGGCUGGAUCGCAACUGACGCUGAGAACGAAAGCUAGGGGAGCAAACAGGAUUAGAUACCCUGGUAGUCC